GACGAACGCUGGCGGCGUGCCUAAUACAUGCAAGUUGAGCGCUGAAGGUUGGUACUUGUACCAACUGGAUGAGCAGCGAACGGGUGAGUAACGCGUGGGGAAUCUGCCUUUGAGCGGGGGACAACAUUUGGAAACGAAUGCUAAUACCGCAUAAAAACUUUAAACACAAGUUUUAAGUUUGAAAGAUGCAAUUGCAUCACUCAAAGAUGAUCCCGCGUUGUAUUAGCUAGUUGGUGAGGUAAAGGCUCACCAAGGCGAUGAUACAUAGCCGACCUGAGAGGGUGAUCGGCCACAUUGGGACUGAGACACGGCCCAAACUCCUACGGGAGGCAGCAGUAGGGAAUCUUCGGCAAUGGACGAAAGUCUGACCGAGCAACGCCGCGUGAGUGAAGAAGGUUUUCGGAUAGUAAAACUCUGUUGGUAGAGAAGAACGUUGGUGAGAGUGGAAAGCUCAUCAAGUGACGGUAACUACCCAGAAAGGGACGGCUAACUACGUG
rnacentral:rRNA from 1 species